rnacentral:misc_RNA from 1 species
GACGUAGGGUGCAAGCGUUGUCCGGAUUUACUGGGCGUAAAGAGCGCGUAGGCGGUCUGUUAAGUGAGAAGUGAAAGCUCCGGGCUCAACUCGGAAAUUGCUUUUCAUACUGGCAGACUGGAGUGACGCAGAGGUGAAUGGAAUUCCCGGUGUAGCGGUGAAAUGCGUUGAUAUCGGGAGGAACACCCAUGGCGAAGGCAGUUCACUGGGCGUUAACUGACGCUGAGGCGCGAAAGCGUGGGGAGCAAACAGG